rnacentral:tRNA from 1 species
GGCCCCAUCGUCUAGGGGUUAGGACACAGGCUUUUCAAGCCUGCGACACGGGUUCGAUUCCCGUUGGGGCUACCA